CCAUGAAUCUGGUCUUGGGACACUGUCAGGUGGGCAGUUUGACUGGGGCGGUCGCCUCCCAAAAGGUAACGGAGGCGCUCAAAGGUUCUCUCAGUACGGUCGGAAAUCGUACGUAGAGUGUAAAGGCAAAAGAGAGCUUGAUUGCAAGACAUACAGGUCGAGCAAGGAUGAAAAUCGGACUUAGUGAUCCGGUGGUUCUGCGUGGAAGGGCCAUCGCUCAACGGAUAAAAGCUACCCUGGGGAUAACAGGCUUAUCUCCCCCAAGAGUCCACAUCGACGGGGAGGUUUGGCACCUCGAUGUCGGCUCAUCACAUCCUGGGGCUGUAGUAGGUCCCAAGGGUUGGGCUGUUCGCCCAUUAAAGUGGUACGCGAGCUGGGUUCAGAACGUCGUGAGACAGUUCGGUCCCUAUCCGUCGCAGGCGUAGGAAAUUUGAGAAGACCUGUCCGUAGUACGAGAGGACCGGGAUGGACGUACCUCUGGUGUACCAGUUGUCCUGCCAAGGGCAUGGCUGGGUAGCUAUGU
rnacentral:rRNA from 1 species